GAGUUUGAUCCUGGCUCAGGACGAACGCUGGCGGCGCGCCUAACACAUGCAAGUCGAACGAGCGAGAGAGAGCUUGCUUUCUCGAGCGAGUGGCGAACGGGUGAGUAACGCGUGAGGAACCUGCCUCAAAGAGGGGGACAACAGUUGGAAACGACUGCUAAUACCGCAUAAGCCCACAGGUCGGCAUCGACCAGAGGGAAAAGGAGCAAUCCGCUUUGAGAUGGCCUCGCGUCCGAUUAGCUAGUUGGUGAGGUAAUGGCCCACCAAGGCGACGAUCGGUAGCCGGACUGAGAGGUUGAACGGCCACAUUGGGACUGAGACACGGCCCAGACUCCUACGGGAGGCAGCAGUGGGGAAUAUUGCACAAUGGGGAAACCCUGAUGCAGCGACGCCGCGUGGAGGAAGAAGGUCUUCGGAUUGUAAACUCCUGUUGUUGAGGAAGAUAAUGACGGUACUCAACAAGGAAGUGACGGCUAACUACGUGCCAGCAGCCGCGGUAAAACGUAGGUCACAAGCGUUGUCCGGAAUUACUGGGUGUAAAGGGAGCGCAGGCGGGAAGACAAGUUGGAAGUGAAAUCUAUGGGCUCAACCCAUAAACUGCUUUCAAAACUGUUUUUCUUGAGUAGUGCAGAGGUAGGCGGAAUUCCCGGUGUAGCGGUGGAAUGCGUAGAUAUCGGGAGGAACACCAGUGGCGAAGGCGGCCUACUGGGCACCAACUGACGCUGAGGCUCGAAAGUGUGGGUAGCAAACAGGAUUGGAUACCCUGGUAGUCCACACCGUAAACGAUGAUUACUAGGUGUUGGAGGAUUGACCCCUUCAGUGCCGCAGUUAACACAAUAAGUAAUCCACCUGGGGAGUACGACCGCAAGGUUGAAACUCAAAGGAAUUGACGGGGGCCCGCACAAGCAGUGGAGUAUGUGGUUUAAUUCGACGCCACGCGAAGAACCUUACCAAGUCUUGACAUCCUGCGACGGACAUAGAAAUAUGUCUUUCCUUCGGGACGCAGAGACAGGUGGUGCAUGGUUGUCGUCAGCUCGUGUCGUGAGAUGUUGGGUUAAGUCCCGCAACGGGCGCAACCCUUACUGUCAGUUACUACGCAAGAGGACUCUGGCGGGACUGCCGUUGACAAAACGGAGGAAGGUGGGGAUGACGUCAAAUCAUCAUGCCCUUUAUGACUUGGGCUACACACGUACUACAAUGGCGUUAAACAAAGAGAAGCAAGACCGCGAGGUGGAGCAAAACUCAGAAACAACGUCCCAGUUCGGACUGCAGGCUGCAACUCGCCUGCACGAAGUCGGAAUUGCUAGUAAUCGUGGAUCAGCAUGCCACGGUGAAUACGUUCCCGGGCCUUGUACACACCGCCCGUC
rnacentral:rRNA from 1 species